GCAGACUUGAGGUCAAUUCAGUGAAGUCC
rnacentral:piRNA from 1 species